UAGGAGAGAUAACCCAAGUUAUGGGGGGAGGAGAAGACUGGAAUGAUGACAGAAUAAUGGCAAGGAGACUAAUAGAGAGGAAACAGCAUUCCGAGUGAGAGAGAAUGGAGGCUCAAGCAAAGCAGCUGCACUAGGUCCUAGACACAUUUCUGAGGUCGAUGCAAGAGCAUCUACUGACUGUUUAGACAUUGAGCGGGAGGGAGGGAGGAGCCAUGGAUGUACCCAGGAGUGAACAACACAGGCUCCGGAGUGUGUUCUGCCACAGCCUGUUCUGGAGGCAGGAAAUCAAUAGGCCCAAUGCCAAUAUGGCAAAAGCCAUAGGGAGAAUGGAAACCUCCAAAUUCCAAGCAAUGAUCAGCAGCAAGGUGAAUGGAGUGCUAAGGGGUAGCUGAAAGAGAUGGUAAGGACACUGAGGAGAAAAGAGGAGACAGCUUCAAUAUAAACCAACUCAGGAACUGAUGAGAGGACAAUCCUGUCUAUUCCAGAGGUAGGUCACCUUUACAAAAGGGAGAACAAAGGUGAGAUUCUCAUAUAACAAAAUAGGUGCUAAACAAAAAGUAGACACUGGGAUGAAUAUUCUUUAAGAAGUAUUGGAUUCAUACACCUGAAAUUCUCCUCUAUUUGUUAAAGAAAAAGUCUGCAGUGUGUUAUAGCGUAAGGGUUGGCAAACUACAACCAUUGCCAAACCUAGCCCACAGCCUGCUUUGUAAAGGAAGUUUAAUUGGAACACAGCCACACCCAUUUGUGUUUUGUUGUCUAUGGCUGGUCUCACGCUACAACAGCAGAGGGGAGUAGUUGUGGCAGAGACCAUAUAGCUCACAAAGCCUAAAAUACAUAAUAUCUGGCCUUUUACAAAAGAAGUUUGCUGACCCUUGUUAUAGAGAAAGAGGCAAGGAUACUUAACUAGUACUCAAAACAACAGAAUCCAGUCUUAGCUGUACCAACUAAUAUGUGCUUGGGGAAGUCACCUAAUAUUUCUAACUCUAGGCUUUCUAAUCUGCAAAAUGAAGCUCAUGGUUAACUCACCUGCAUGACAAGCUUUAUGGUGAAGCUCAUAUGUGAUGAUAUAAGGGAACUCGGAAAACCAUAAAGGUCUAUGCAUAUAUUUAUGAAUGUUUCUACUGAAC
rnacentral:lncRNA from 1 species